rnacentral:rRNA from 1 species
UACGUAGGGUGCAAGCGUUAAUCGGAAUUACUGGGCGUAAAGCGUGCGCAGGCGGUUUUGUAAGUCUGUCGUGAAAGCCCCGGGCUCAACCUGGGAAUUGCGAUGGAGACUGCAAGGCUUGAAUCUGGCAGAGGGGGGUAGAAUUCCACGUGUAGCAGGUGAAAUGCGUAGAGAUCCGGAGGAACCCAGAGGCGAAGGCGGCAGCCUCGGUUCGUACCUGACGCUCGGACACGACAGCAUGGGGAGCGAACGGG